rnacentral:rRNA from 1 species
CGGGGUGCAGCAGGCGCGAAAACUUUACAAUGCCGGCAACGGCGAUAAGGGAACCUCGAGUGCCAGGUUACAAAUCUGGCUGUCGUGAUGCCUAAAAAGCAUUGCAUAGCAAGGGCCGGGCAAGACCGGUGCCAGCCGCCGCGGUAACACCGGCGGCUCGAGUGGUAACCGUUAUUAUUGGGUCUAAAGGGUCCGUAGCCGGCCGGGUAAGUCUCUUGGGAAAUCUGGCAGCUUAACUGUCAGGCUUUCAGGAGAUACUGCCUGGCUCGAGGCCGGGAGAGGUGAGAGGUACUUCAGGGGUAGGGGUGAAAUCUUGUAAUCCUUGAAGGACCACCAGUGGCGAAGGCGUCUCACCAGAACGGACCUGACGGCAAGGGACGAAAGCUAGGGGCACGAACCGGAUUAGAUACCCGGGUAGUCCUAGCCGUAAACGAUACUCGCUAGGUGUCGGCCACGGUGCGACCGUGGUCGGUGCCGUAGGGAAGCCGUGAAGCGAGCCACCUGGGAAGUACGGCCGCAAGGCUGAAACUUAAAGGAAUUGGCGGGGGAGCAC